UGGGGAAUUUUGGACAAUGGGCGAAAGCCUGAUCCAGCAAUGCCGCGUGUGUGAAGAAGGCCUUCGGGUUGUAAAGCACUUUUGUCCGGAAAGAAAUCCUUGGCUCUAAUACAGUCGGGGGAUGACGGUACCGGAAGAAUAAGCACCGGCUAACUACGUGCCAGCAGCCGCGGUAAUACGUAGGGUGCAAGCGUUAAUCGGAAUUACUGGGCGUAAAGCGUGCGCAGGCGGUUUGCUAAGACCGAUGUGAAAUCCCCGGGCUCAACCUGGGAACUGCAUUGGUGACUGGCAGGCUAGAGUAUGGCAGAGGGGGGUAGAAUUCCACGUGUAGCAGUGAAAAUGCGUAGAGAUGUGGAGGAAUACCGAUGGCGAAAGGCAGCCCCCUGGGCCAAAUACUGACGCUCAUGCACGAAAAGCGUGGGGAGCAAACAGGAUUAGAUACCCUGGUAGUCCACGCCCUAAAACGAUGUCAACUAGUUGUUGGGGAUUCAUUUCCUUAGUAACGUAGCUAACGCGUGAAGUUGACCGCCUGGGGAGUACGGUCGCAAGAUUAAAAACUCAAAGGAAUUGACGGGGUCAUAGCUGUUUCCU
rnacentral:rRNA from 1 species